AAGUUAACAGAGCCUUCGGAUGACGUUAACGGCGUCGAGCGGCGGACGGGUGAGUAAUGCCUAGGAAAUUGCCCUGAUGUGGGGGAUAACCAUUGGAAACGAUGGCUAAUACCGCAUGAUGCCUACGGGCCAAGAGGGGGACCUUCGGGCCUCUCGCGUCAGGAUAUGCCUAGGUGGGAUUAGCUAGUUGGUGAGGUAAGGGCUCACCAAGGCACGAUCCCUAGCUGGUCUGAGAGGAUGAUCAGCCACACUGGAACUGAGA
rnacentral:rRNA from 1 species